rnacentral:rRNA from 1 species
GAUGAACGCUGGCGGCGUGCUUAACACAUGCAAGUCGAGCGAUUCUCUUCGGAGAAGAGCGGCGGACGGGUGAGUAACGCGUGGGUAACCUGCCCUGUACACACGGAUAACAUACCGAAAGGUAUGCUAAUACGAGAUAAUAUGCUUUUAUCGCAUGGUAGAAGUAUCAAAGCUCCGGCGGUACAGGAUGGACCCGCGUCUGAUUAGCUAGUUGGUGAGGUAACGGCUCACCAAGGCGACGAUCAGUAGCCGACCUGAGAGGGUGAUCGGCCACAUUGGAACUGAGACACGGUCCAAACUCCUACGGGAGGCAGCAGUGGGGAAUAUUGCACAAUGGGCGAAAGCCUGAUGCAGCAACGCCGCGUGAGCGAUGAAGGCCUUCGGGUCGUAAAGCUCUGUCCUCAAGGAAGAUAAUGACGGUACUUGAGGAGGAAGCCCCGGCUAACUACGUGCCAGCCGCCGCAGUAAAAC